rnacentral:rRNA from 1 species
UACGUAGGGUGCGAGCGUUAACCGGAAUUACUGGGCGUAAAGCGUGCGCAGGCGGUGAUGUAAGACCGAUGUGAAAUCCCCGGGCUUAACCUGGGAACUGCAUUUGUGGACUGCAUGGCUGGAGUGCGGCAGAGGGGGGUGGAAUUCCGCGUGUAGCAGUGAAAUGCGUAGAGAUGCGGAGGAACACCGAUGGCGAAGGCAGCCCCCUGGGCUGACACUGACGCUCAGGCACGAAAGCGUGGGGAGCAAACAGG